rfam:Ornithorhynchus anatinus chromosome 3, whole genome shotgun sequence.
CCCCUCUCAGGGUCACACCUGGAGAGUUUCCAGUACUCUACCAGUCUUGGCUAUAGGAGGGAACAUCAAGCAGAGGCCUAUCCAUUCCAUUCCUAGCUUGGGCAGUGGCACACAAGUGGAAGACAAUCUGCUACAAGU